AGUGGGGAAUAUUGCACAAUGGGGGAAACCCUGAUGCAGCAACGCCGCGUGGAGGAUGACACAUUUCGGUGCGUAAACUCCUUUUAUAUGGGAAGAUAAUGACGGUACCAUAUGAAUAAGCACCGGCUAACUCCGUGCCAGCAGCCGCGGUAAUACGGAGGGUGCAAGCGUUACUCGGAAUCACUGGGCGUAAAGCGCGCGCAGGCGGCUAUUUAAGUUGGAUGUGAAAGCCUACGGCUCAACCGUAGAACUGCAUCCAAAACUAUUUAGCUAGAGUGUGGGAGAGGAAGAUGGAAUUAGUUGUGUAGGGGUAAAAUCCGUAGAGAUAACUAGGAAUACCAAAAGCGAAGGCAAUCUUCUGGAACACUACUGACGCUGAGGCGCGAAAGCGUGGGGAGCAAACAGGAUUAGAUACCCUGGUAGUCCACGCAGUAAACGAUGAAUGUUAGUCGUCGGGGGCCUAGUGUCUUCGGUGAUGCAGCUAACGCAUUAAACAUUCCGCCUGGGGAGUACGGUCGCAAGAUUAAAACUCAAAGGAAUAGACGGGGACCCGCACAAGUGGUGGAGCAUGUGGUUUAAUUCGAAGAUACGCGAAGAACCUUACCUAGCCUUGACAUAUUUUAGAACUCCGUAGAGAUACAGAGGUGCCUUCGGGAGCUAAUUUACAGGUGCUGCACGGCUGUCGUCAGCUCGUGUCGUGAGAUGUUGGGUUAAGUCCCGCAACGAGCGCAACCCUCGUCACUAGUUACUAACGGUUCGGCCGAGGACUCUAGUGAGACUGCCUUCGUAAGGAGGAGGAAGGUGAGGACGACGUCAAGUCAUCAUGGCCCUUACGGCUAGGGCAACACACGUGCUACAAUGGCCAGGACAGUGAGACGCGAUACCGUGAGGUGGAGCAAAUCUAUAAACCUGGUCUCAGUUCGGAUUGUAGUCUGCAACUCGACUACAUGAAGCUGGAAUCACUAGUAAUCGUAGAUCAGCUAUGCUACGGUGAAUACGU
rnacentral:rRNA from 1 species